AUCCACGGCCAUGCCACCCUGAACAAGCCCGAUCCCAUCUGAUCUCGGAAGCUAAGCAGGGUCGGGCCUGGUUAGUACUUGGAUGGGAGACCACCUAGGAAGACCAGGUGCUGUAGGCG
rnacentral:rRNA from 1 species